rnacentral:lncRNA from 1 species
CGCCGUUUACUUACACUUGCCUCCGUGGCCCGUUGUUAUGACGACACGGUCGUAAAUCCGCCAUCUUCCUGCGGCUCGUUGCGACAUGGAGGGAGCGAUGGCAGUGCGGGUGACGGCCGCUCAUACGGCAGAAGCCCGGGCCGAAGCCGGGCGUGAAGCGGGUGAGGGCGGGGUCGCAGCAGCGGCUUCUGUUCCCGGCGGCUUCCUCCGCCUCCCAGCGCCCUUCGGGGAGGAGGGUAACGAGGCUCUACCGUGCUGGCACGGUCAGGGUGGGGCGGGACAGCCUGGGCUAGUGGCAUACCGAGGGCCGAACCUUCGGGUGCGCAGACCCUCCUGGACCGAGCUCCCCUCGGGCCUCGCAAGCCUUCCCCGACCCUCGCAGGCUUCCCUGCGGGGCGCCUGCCACCCGCUGGGCCUCUGAGCGUUUUCAGGUGCCCGCAAAAGUCUGGAGGUCCCAGAUUGGACCGAGGCAAACGCUGAUUGCCCAGCCCUGGGGCCCUUGCUGCCCCGGUAUGCAAUGAAAUGGCUUGGAUAAGAAGAGGACCAAGAUGAAGCAAGGAGAAGCACUAGCUUUAAAUGAAAGGAUUAUGUUGUCUCUUGUCAGUACAGGAUUAUCGUCCCCCCAGUCUCCAGUGUUCCUGCCCUACCAUGAGCUAGUAGGAAUUACUAUACUGCUUUCUUCUGCCAUACUUGGAUAGUAGAAAGGGAAAUGUGUGUGUGUUUGAGAACCAGGAAAGUAUAUCCACAGCUGAGAAGAGCACUCAACAAGUUCACAAAUGAAGUCAUGUGGCUUCAUGGGCUGCACUGCUCAGUCCUCUCCAGAACCGCAAAAUCCCCUAGGAAGGAUCUCUCUGUCCCCUGGUGGUGUGGAUGCAGUUGCCAGCUCAAGCUGGGAAAGAUCUUGGUUUUACUGAGUUCUGGGCCCACUGCUUCUCUGCUCUGCAAAUGGAUUGCUUAUCAGAUCAGGAGCAAGAGGCUGUGGGAAACCCCACUAAGAAUAGCUGUGAUCUGGAGGAGACAGCAUCUUCACAGGCUGCCAGAGAGCCUUGGGUGGCACAGGGAGACACCAGAAAGGACAGACCACCAGAAAGGCCCUGGGACUCUUACCAGAUAGCACUACAUUUGCUCUCCUUAGACAAAAUAAAUCUUUUUUAAAUUUUUAAUGUUUUAGUACAUGAUUAUAGUACAUAAUGAUUAUGUAAUUCAUUGUGGGGAAUUGGUACAUAUACAUAACACAUUCUCUUUUUUUCCCCCCUUCUUGACCCUCCCCUUUGCCAGCAUCAGAUUCAUUUGUUUAUCUUAUAAGUCCUUAUAGUUAAUUAUCGUGCAUACAGAUGAACAGCCAGACUUAACUGGCCAAAAAAACAUAAAUGCAUAAGACAAUUAUACUAAAUCAAGGUACAGUUUUAGAUAUGUUGUUCAUACUAGAUUACAAUAACUUUUUUCCUAGUGUCUGUAUUUUAGGCAAAAUCUUGAAAUCAG